rnacentral:rRNA from 1 species
UACGAAGGGGGCUAGCGUUGCUCGGAAUCACUGGGCGUAAAGGGUGCGUAGGCGGGUCUUUAAGUCAGGGGUGAAAUCCUGGAGCUCAACUCCAGAACUGCCUUUGAUACUGAAGAUCUUGAGUUCGGGAGAGGUGAGUGGAACUGCGAGUGUAGAGGUGAAAUUCGUAGAGAUCGGGAGGAACACCAGAGGCGAAGGCGGCCCACUGGACGGACACUGACACUCAACUGCGAAAGCGUGGGGAGCAAACAGG